GACGAACGCUGGCGGCGUGCCUAAUACAUGCAAGUCGAACGAACUCUGGUAUUGAUUGGUGCUUGCAUCAUGAUUUACAUUUGAGUGAGUGGCGAACUGGUGAGUAACACGUGGGAAACCUGCCCAGAAGCGGGGGAUAACACCUGGAAACAGAUGCUAAUACCGCAUAACAACUUGGACCGCAUGGUCCGAGUUUGAAAGAUGGCUUCGGCUAUCACUUUUGGAUGGUCCCGCGGCGUAUUAGCUAGAUGGUGGGGUAACGGCUCACCAUGGCAAUGAUACGUAGCCGACCUGAGAGGGUAAUCGGCCACAUUGGGACUGAGACACGGCCCAAACUCCUACGGGAGGCAGCAGUAGGGAAUCUUCCACAAUGGACGAAAGUCUGAUGGAGCAACGCCGCGUGAGUGAAGAAGGGUUUCGGCUCGUAAAACUCUGUUGUUAAAGAAGAACAUAUCUGAGAGUAACUGUUCAGGUAUUGACGGUAUUUAACCAGAAAGCCACGGCUAACUACGUGCCAGCAGCCGCGGUAAUACGUAGGUGGCAAGCGUUGUCCGGAUUUAUUGGGCGUAAAGCGAGCGCAGGCGGUUUUUUAAGUCUGAUGUGAAAGCCUUCGGCUCAACCGAAGAAGUGCAUCGGAAACUGGGAAACUUGAGUGCAGAAGAGGACAGUGGAACUCCAUGUGUAGCGGUGAAAUGCGUAGAUAUAUGGAAGAACACCAGUGGCGAAGGCGGCUGUCUGGUCUGUAACUGACGCUGAGGCUCGAAAGUAUGGGUAGCAAACAGGAUUAGAUACCCUGGUAGUCCAUACCGUAAACGAUGAAUGCUAAGUGUUGGAGGGUUUCCGCCCUUCAGUGCUGCAGCUAACGCAUUAAGCAUUCCGCCUGGGGAGUACGGCCGCAAGGCUGAAACUCAAAGGAAUUGACGGGGGCCCGCACAAGCGGUGGAGCAUGUGGUUUAAUUCGAAGCUACGCGAAGAACCUUACCAGGUCUUGACAUACUAUGCAAAUCUAAGAGAUUAGACGUUCCCUUCGGGGACAUGGAUACAGGUGGUGCAUGGUUGUCGUCAGCUCGUGUCGUGAGAUGUUGGGUUAAGUCCCGCAACGAGCGCAACCCUUAUUAUCAGUUGCCAGCAUUAAGUUGGGCACUCUGGUGAGACUGCCGGUGACAAACCGGAGGAAGGUGGGGAUGACGUCAAAUCAUCAUGCCCCUUAUGACCUGGGCUACACACGUGCUACAAUGGAUGGUACAACGAGUUGCGAACUCGCGAGAGUAAGCUAAUCUCUUAAAGCCAUUCUCAGUUCGGAUUGUAGGCUGCAACUCGCCUACAUGAAGUCGGAAUCGCUAGUAAUCGCGGAUCAGCAUGCCGCGGUGAAUACGUUCCCGGGCCUUGUACACGCCGCCCGUCACACCAUGAGAGUUUGUAACACCCAAAGUCGGUGGGGUAACCUUUUAGGAACCAGCCGCCUAAGGUGGGACAGAUGAUUAGGGUG
rnacentral:rRNA from 1 species